rnacentral:rRNA from 1 species
GACAGAGGCCUCAAGCGUUAGGCGGAAUCACUGGGCUUAAAGCGUGUGUAGGCGGAUCGUUAAGUGCCUUGUGAAAUCCCACGGCUCAACCGUGGAACUGCUUGGCAUACUGGCGGUCUUGAGCCAUCUAGGGGUCGCUGGAACAAACGGAGGAGCGGUGAAAUGCGUAGAUAUCGUUUGGAACGCCUAUGGUGAAAACAGGCGACUGGGGAUGUGCUGACGCUGAGACACGAAAGCCAGGGGAGCAAACGGG